rnacentral:snoRNA from 1 species
CCUCCAUUUUCCUUCCCCAUCAGAGCUAAACACUGGUCUGAGUAGGUACAAAAGGAAUAAAAGCAGCAUGGAAACCAAGUUCAAUUCUUUCGUAGUACAUGAGAGAGGUAGUGUUCAAUAGUU